AUACCAUGGUCGAGACAUUAUCUUAACAACUCUUUGAAUCUCUCCCAAGCAUCAAAUAGAGGAUUCAUCACCUCCUUGUAUAUAUGAAGUAAUUUCAUUCCUCAUCUU